GAUGAACGCUGGCGGCGUGCCUAAUACAUGCAAGUCGAACGGAGAGUCUUUGUAGCAAUACGAGGGCUUCUUAGUGGCGAACGGGUGAGUAACGCGUUGGUGACCUGCCCCAAAGUGUGGGAUAACAGUCCGAAAGGAUUGCUAAUACCGCAUGUGGUCCCCGGGUUUAGAAACCGGUGACUAAAGCAGUAAUGCGCUUUGGGAGGGACCUGCGUCCCAUCAGCUAGUUGGUGAGGUAACGGCCCACCAAGGCUACGACGAUGCAUAGCCGACCUGAGAGGGUGAUCGGCCACACUGGGACUGAGACACGGCCCAGACUCCUACGGGAGGCAGCAGUAGGGAAUCUUCCACAAUGGACGAAAGUCUGAUGGAGCAACGCCGCGUGAGUGAUGAAGGUCUUCGGAUCGUAAAACUCUGUUGUAAGGGAAGAACACGUACGAGAGGGAAUGCUCGUACCUUGACGGUACCUUACGAGAAAGCCACGGCUAACUACGUGCCAGCCGCCGCCGUAACAC
rnacentral:rRNA from 1 species